AGGCGACAUGAUGUCAACGGUAGCAUGACACGUUGUGAGCGUGUUUGAAUGGGUUCGAGUCCCAUUGUCGCCUU
rnacentral:tRNA from 1 species